UAGAUGUUAUAAAAAAAUAAAAUCCAAGGCAGAUCAAAGGGGAUGUGGCGGAGGAUUCAGCAACUGCCACCCUUAAGCAAAGAACAGUAAUGAAGAAAUGAGUUUUGGCAGCCUAGCCAAUGGGAUAUGAAAGAAAUUAAUCCCGAAGGGAUGUAAUGACCUGAAAAAAAUGAUGAGCAAAGUCCAGAAGGAUUAGAAGAAAGAAAAAGGCAGCAGACAGAAUGGACUUCAGUGCAACAGGGAAUUAAACUGAAAUCAUUAAAUUCUUUCUGCUUAGCACUUUAGAGAAAAUUUCUAUCAGCCUGCCUAAGGUUGGAAAUGUUUGAGGAGGCAUUUAUCAUGAAAGCCGUGGCCUUUGCUCCUAAAGCUUCGUCUCACAAGUACAAUAACAAAAACUGCUAAUUAAAAGAGGGAAAACAACCAGGAGUCAAACACAAAGGGGCAUCCCUGCCUCAUCAGCACAGAACAAUCGACCGGCUCCCUUCACUGCCCAUGCGAGGCUCCAUGUGAGGAAGCCUGCUCUGCCCUUCCAGGAAGCAGGUGUGGGAAUAGAAGGAGGCACCACUCAUCUUCUGCAGAAAAGCAAAAUGAAGACAUCAUCAGAGAGCAGCACUCAUUGGAAGUAGCUCCUCGGGUUCCCUUCUAAUGUCAGGGGUCUAACAGAGUGCCUAUACCAACUGGUGGGAACGUGUGUGUGUA
rnacentral:lncRNA from 1 species